CUUCAUCACUCAUGCCCACAAGCAACAUUCGCCCAGUCUAUACAUGAUCAACACCGAGAACCCUGGAUCUGCACACUGAUACCUGGGGAAAAUUCCUUUCCGCACUGAGAGAUGCUGCCAUCCAAACACGCAGCGAACAACCAGUGAACGCGCAACUAGCGGCGGAUGAACCCCAAUGACCCACGAGGGGUCCAACGAUUGUAAAGCAGGAACCGUCGACUAGCUAUCCGUACCAUCAUUGAAAAACCUCCUCACCUGUUCCGUAAACCUGUUCCAUCACAAGAGAUGAGAUCGAAGCCCACUUUGUCGCUGCAUGGGGUUUCAGAGCGGCUCCUCUGGCUCUCCUGUGCCAAAGAGGCAGCAGUACCGUCUAUCGGAGUCACUUUACUCCAGAGAAGAUGCUCUGCAAGGCAAAGCAAUGCAAAAAGCGCUUUAUCUGGCGACAAUCGCAUCACCUACAAGCACUGGUUAAGUGUACCUUGUGGCCAUUUUCAAGGUAUGCCUCCACUACAGAGAAAUGCCCAACGAGUGGAGGCUAUCGCGAACUGUGCUCAUCUCGAAGAAAAGAGACGCAGGGAUAGUGUCCAACUGGAGACCUACACCCUUCACUCGUACGAUCCCGAAACUCUUCACAGGUUUUCUGGCAGUGCGUGUGCAAUCGUGUAUCACCUCCAAAGACGUACUUUAAGAAAGCCUGGGCUACAUCCUGCAAUCAAAGAUGAACGAACAAAGCCAGAGCUAACCAAGGUGACCUGUGUCAACACCACCUAGGUAAAAGGCCUCUUCCUGUCCUCUGCACAUGUGCCACACCGCUCUAGCUGUUUGACGCAAUCUUAUCGGUCACGGUGUUGUGUGAAGAUGACCAUCAGCAACGUGGACAUUUUAAGGUACAUAGCAUGUGCUUUGGGCGUGUUGUGUUGUGAGCCCUCCUGCUUUCUUCGCCGCACGGUAGUUCUCAAGUGGUCCCUUCUUAGGUGUGUGCACGGGGAAGUGUCACUGCACUGCAACGACUCUGGUACUCCUUCCACUGGGCCGACUCUGUGUCGCUGGCUGCCGUGGCAUGGCAACUAUUAAGUUGAACUAAAAGUGGUGUCUCCCAUUAGGGAUUAAGCUUGCAAGGAGCCCUGGUUGAAAGCUAUUCACGCAAGGGUCUCAGGCCGAGCUUACAUUUCAAGUUAGAUGUCCGAAUUUUGAGUGCGCAGUGCUAACCAGCCAACAUGCAUAGUCAGUGGCUAUAACGAGGUGUAAACACCACUUGAGUCUACAAACUUCGCAAGAGGAUAGAUCUGUCUGACCAGCCAACUCUGUGCCAUGUUUGUUGAAGCUAUGGAGUCGAUCACUUGAAACUGCAAAACUGGCCUAAUUUUGCACUGGAAUCUCCUUUGCUGAAAUGUGUCACCAUCGAGACCUGUGAGACUCUUGUGCAGCUGAAAUGUAGUUCAUGCGGCAACAAACACUGCGUGAGAUAACCUCUGUAACUUAAACAAUAAUUUCAUUCAAGACCGAGCACAAAAGAUGGCCGAAGAAAGGCUAAAACAGAAAUAUGGUGGAAUGCAUUAGCACACUUUCAUUAAAAAUUUACUUCAAGCA